UUUCCGCCAGAGAACUACAAGUGAAAAACUUGAAACUCAAAGGACUUGACGGUGUCCCAUAUCGCCCUAGAGGAGCCUGUCCUAUAAUCGAUACUCCCCGUUCCACCCAACCUCAACUAGCAUAUCAUCAGCCUAUAUACCGCCGUCGAUCAGCCUACCCUAUGAAGGUCUAAUAGUAGACACAACAGCUUAACCGCUAAUACGUCAGGUCAAGGUGUAGCAAAUGUUGAGGAAGAGAUUGGCUACAUUUUUUAUGAUAAAAAACACGAAAAGCACUAUGAAACUGUGCAUGAAGGUGAAUUUAGUAGUAAAAUAGACAAGUGUGUCUACUUUAACAUCGCUCUGGGACGCGUACACACCGCCC
rnacentral:rRNA from 1 species